rnacentral:rRNA from 1 species
GACGAACGCUGGCGGCGUGCCUAAUACAUGCAAGUCGAACGCACUCUCGUUUAGAUUGAAGGAGCUUGCUCCUGAUUGAUAAGCAUUUGAGUGAGUGGCGGACGGGUGAGUAACACGUGGGUAACCUGCCCUAAAGUGGGGGAUAACAUUUGGGAACAGAUGCUAAUACCGCAUAAAAACCUAGCACCGCAUGGUGCAGGGUUGAAAGAUGGUUUCGGCUAUCACUUUUAGGAUGGACCCGCGGUGCAUUAGUUAGUUGGUGAGGUAAAGGCUCACCAAGACCGUGAUGCAUAGCCGACCUGAGAGGGUAAUCGGCCACACUGGGACUGAGACACGGCCCAGAUCCCUACGGGAGGCA